UUUAUGACCACAAUGCUGAGAAAGUGUCAGGUGCUCCGAGACGCGGUCCUUGGCCUGAAGACGCAUCUGCGACGAAAGCCACUCUCUGGAACGGAAGUGUCACCAGCGAUUUUCCUCGUAAAAAAGUGGUAACCGCGACCCUGGGGCUUUGUGCUGCGGGCGCACCACAGCUUCCUUCGCUCUGAAGAAGCCCAAGGGGACACGUUGGGCUCCCUCAGGCUGCACUAUUAACAAGUAUUAACUGGGAAUUAGUUGGGGACAGUGACCCACGGCUUGGACCUCCUGCCCUUCGGGCAGUCGUGAGCGCUGGUGGACACGCUCUGCCCAUCCACGCAAUGGGCUGGCCCUGGACACCUUCCUCUCAUGUCACUGUGGGCAUCUGCACGCUGGGCUCACACAUCUGGCAGGUUACCCGCCUGGUGGACACGCUCUGCCCAUCCACGCGACGGGCUGGCCCUGGACACCCUCCUCUCACGUCACCGUGGGCACCUGCACGCUGGGCUCACACGUCUUGCAGUGGUGAGGGAGAUGGCAACACCCAGCUCCAGCCUUCCGUCCUACGGGGGAAUAAAGUCUGCUUAAGGAGAGUUCUCUUUCCCAAGAGAACCGGCAAAGUCCCAGGAAUUCAUUCUGAUCGGCCAGAACCAGCUGUCAUACCUCUCAAGUAUCUGGAAAGCAGCUAAGCCCCACGGAAGCAGGGAGAGGAGGAGAAUGAGUCUCAAGCAGCCACCAUGGGACUCCAUCUCACAACCUGGAGAUCAGGACCCAAAGUCGAAAUCAACAGUGGGACACUGAACCAGUGGAGCCACCCAGGCACGUCCUAUAUCCGGGUGGCUUUAAGCAUUCUACGGAUCCUGUGACAGCCUGUUUCCAACUAGAAAAAUGAGAACAAUACGGACACCUCCUCCAUAGGGUCUGUAUGAGGAUUAAGUAAGAAGUCAUCUGUUUAGUGGGUUCCUGACACUGGGUAAACUCCUAGCCAAGCACUGUUACAAAUUUGUUGGCAUCAGACCCAAUAUUUAAGGAUGUCCCCACUCUAGAGGAUCAUAGAAUCACUGCAUUUCUCCCCAGGCUCCUC